rnacentral:rRNA from 1 species
UUAUUUAUUUUAUUAUAUUUAUUUUUUGUUUAUUUAAUUAUUUAAUAAAAAUAAUUUUAUUGAAUUUUGUCUUAGUAUAUUUUGUAGAAUUGAUUUUUUAAAUUAUAGUUUAUUGGUAAUGUAAUUGUUUUAUGAAAUAUUAUUUUAAAUUUUUAAAAGUAUAUUUUAUUUAUUGUACCUUUUGUAUCAGGGUUUAUCAAAAUUUUAGUAUUUAAUUUACUUGUCUCGAUUUGGGUUGAUUUAUAAAUAAUUUAUAGUUAAUGUAUCAUAAUUAUUAUUAAAUUAUUUAUGGAAAUGAAAUGUUAAUCGUUUCCCAAGAUAUCUAGUUUCUUAAGAAAAAUUUUAAUUUUUUAAAGUUAAUUGUUUUUAUUUAAUUUUUUAAUUAUAAAUAUUAACUUAUUUAUUCUUUAAGGGAUAAGCUUUGAAGUUAAUAACCUAUAAUUUGUUUUAUAAAAUAUAAUAGUAAGCUUUAAACCAGCUAUCCUUAAGAUUACGUUUUAGUUCAUUAUUUUCUAUUUUGAUUUUAUAAUUAUUUUAGGUUUUUUAUUAGGAUUAUUUAUUUAAUUUUAAAAUUUUUGUAAUAAUGAUAGAAUUAGUAUAUUUACUUGUAUAUAAUUUUUACCUUGUGAAUUUAUAAUAAGGAACUAGGCAAAAUUGAUUUCCGCCUGUUUAUCAAAAACAUGUCCUCUUGAAAAUACUUUGAGGUCUGGCCUGCUCACUGAGCGGAUUUUUAAAGAGCCGCGGUAUUUUGACCGUGCAAAGGUAGCAUAAUCAUUAGUCUCUUAAUUAGUGSCUGGAAUGAAUSCCUUCASGAGAAAUCAACUUCUCUUAAUAAAUUU